rnacentral:rRNA from 1 species
GGGAAAACAAAUCGCUGGCGGCGUGCCUAAUACUUGCAAGUCGAGCGAACAGAGAAGGAGUUUGCUCCUUUGACUUUAGCGGCGGACGGGUGAGUAACACGUGGGCAACCUACCUUAUAGUUUGGGAUAACUCCGGGAAACCGGGGCUAAUACCGAAUAAUCUGUUUCACCUCAUGGUGAAAUAUUGAAAGACGGUUUCGGCUGUCGCUAUAGGAUGGGCCCGCGGCGCAUUAGCUAGUUGGUGAGGUAACGGCUCACCAAGGCGACAAUGCGUACCCAACCUGAGAGGGUGAUCGGCCACCCUGGGACUGAAACACGGCCCAAACUCCUACGGGAGGCAGCAGUAGGGAAUCUUCCACAAUGGGCGAAAGCCUGAUGGAGCAACGCCGCGUGAGUGAAAAAGGAUUUCGGUUCGUAAAACUCUGUUGUAAGGGAAAAACAAGUACAGUAGUAACUGGUUGUACCUUGACGGUACCUUAUUAAAAAGCCACGGCUAACUACGUGCCAGCAGCCGCGGUAAUACGUAGGUGGCAAGCGUUGUCCGGAAUUAUUGGGCGUAAAGCGCGCGCAGGUGGUUUCUUAAGUCUGAUGUGAAAGCCCACGGCUCAACCGUGGAGGGUCAUUGGAAACUGGGAGACUUGAGUGCAGAAGAGGAUAGUGGAUUUCCAGGUGUAGCGGUGAAAUGCGUAGGAGAUUUGGAGGAACACCAGUGGGCGAAGGCGACUAUCUGGUCUGUAACUGACACUGAGGCGCGAAGCGUGGGGGAGCAACAGGAUUAGAUACCCUGGUAGUCCACGCCGUAAACGAUGAGUGCUAGGUGUUAGGGGUUUCCGCCCUAUGCUGCAGCUACGCAUAGCACUCCGCUGGGGAUACGUCGCAGACUGACUCAAGGAUGACGGGCCGCCAAGGUGAACAUGGGUUAUCGAGCACCGAACUUACAGCCUGACUCGUGACCUGUAGAAUGUCCCUCGGCACGUCGGUGGUCUAGUUCUACAUGUCCGAAG